AAGGAAGGCUGGCACAUAGGAAACAAAAUUAAGGAUGUUCUUGUUCCUUCUGAUUAUUUUUCUAAGGGCCUUCUAGAAUUCCUGGAAAUUAUUACCCCUUCUUCUUCCCAGCUUGUCAGCUUUGUUCUUUGAUUCCCCAAGGCCUAGUUGGUCACGGCUUAUCCAGGUUACCACUCUCCUGCUCCCUCAGCCCCUCCCAUCUCAGUUGUGUUCACAACAGGUCUGUGUGCUGGUGCCUGUGUUGUUGGGAGUCUUUAUUCGCAGAGGACCCCAAAACCGGACUCGGUGCCAUUUCUCUCCUUCUGGCCCGUUGCUGGCCCUUAUGCAUUACUUGCCUUUUUCUCAGCUCUGUCUGGACUCAUGAGGUCCUGGGGGCAGAAUCAGUCUGUGUCCCCUGAAUGCUGAGUGCCCUCUAGGUGCUUAAAUGUUGUUCACUUUUCACAGGGAAAGUCUUCAGAUGGCAGUAGGCCCAUUCCUCCACAUCCUAGAGAGCAACCUGCUGAAAGCCAUGGACUCUGCCACUGCCCCCGACAAGAUCAGAAAGCUGUAUCUCUAUGCGGCUCAUGAUGUGACCUUCAUACCGCUCUUAAUGACCCUGGGGAUUUUUGACCACAAAUGGCCACCGUUUGCUGUUGACCUGACCAUGGAACUUUACCAGCACCUGGAAUCUAAGGAGUGGUUUGUGCAGCUCUAUUACCACGGGAAGGAGCAGGUGCCGAGAGGUUGCCCUGAUGGGCUCUGCCCGCUGGACAUGUUCUUGAAUGCCAUGUCAGUUUAUACCUUAAGCCCAGAAAAAUACCACGCACUCUGCUCUCAAACUCAGGUGAUGGAAGUUGGAAAUGAAGAGUAACUGAUUUAUAAAAGCAGGAUGUGUUGAUUUUAAAAUAAAGUGCCUUUAUACAAUG
rnacentral:sRNA from 1 species